AGUAAAGUCAGCUAACAAAGCUAUUGGG
rnacentral:tRNA from 9 species